UGACAAUAUGAGCGCACUGCGAAAGUAAGCAAGAUAAGGAGUAUCUUAAGCAGAACAAUACUUUUUCUACUUACUGAACAUAUCUGUUGACAGUAUGAGAGCACUGAUUAAGUACUACACACAAGCACACAUGCACAUUUAAUUGGAAACUUCUUGAAGUUGGAGUUCAACCAAGAUCGGGGACAGUAAAAUACUCAUCAUCAUCUGGGAUUUCAAUUCUGGACUUCUUGUAAGGCAUUUGAUAUUUGGUUGUCCUGUAAAUAUUUGUAUUGCUCGACUGAGGUACUGAUAGCUCGGGCACUUCAGCUGCUGUUUGUUCACCAAAGAGAUCAAUGCCCCCUAACCACUCAAAUUCACCAAGCUCAAGUAGAUCCUUCUUGUCACUCGACUCAUAAUCUGGAAAUCCUAGUAAAUCAUCGACAGGCCAAGAUGGUGAUGUUAUACAGGACAACUGCUGUGGAGGCAUUUUCAAGCCAACUUGUUGGGAAUUCUGCUGAGGUGGUUGUGGCUGCAGUUGGUUUUUUACUGAUUCCUUGUUACAGCUUGAGCUCAAGGCUACACGGA
rnacentral:misc_RNA from 1 species